rnacentral:lncRNA from 1 species
CUAUUUUAUUGCUUUAUAAUCUAUUAGCCUAGUUUAUUAUAAAUUGUUUAGAUCUAAUCGGUUCCCUAGCUCCUUGUGGAUUCGAUCCCUAAGUACUAUGACUUGACCUCUUUUGAUGAGAGUAACACUCUUUAGGGUAAUUUGAGUGAUAUCAUGAAUAUAUCUCUGUCUCUGCAGAGCAUGAUCAAUAUGCUAAAGCAAGACACAAGGAAGGAAUGGUAUAGAAGCGGGGAAUACCCAAAGGUCUCAUUUACAUGCGUUUGGAGAAGAUGUGCGAUCACUGGGUGUUCUACUGAUUUGUAAUGUCAUGAAUAAAUUGUAUUUUUCUUUCUUUUUUUUUUGUCUGCUUAAGAAUAUAUAUGUGUUAUUUGUUUAAUGACAAUUACCGUUUGAUUCAACAUAUCUGAUCCAACGUGAAUUGAGUCUUUUAUUAGAUCAUUCGUACUGGUCACAUGUUUAAUUGCAUCGCUCGAGUUAUUUAGCUCUUUGCAGUUUUGUUUAAAAUAGGAGUAAUGGUGUUGGUGACAUUUGGAGCUUAGGAUGAGGUCGUGAGAAAAUUGUUUUCAGAAACAAAUCGUGAGAGAGAAAAAAAGGGUAUUUGGUUUUCAGACUGAUCAAACUUCAGAGUAUGAACCAAGGGCAAGCCUAUGGAGCAUUCAGCAAUGAAAUACAUAGCAUACUUGCUGAGACAAAAAGUUAAGAAUAUCACAAACAGAUAACUGGUUUUAUGUGUGAC